UCGACGUAAUCUUUGCAGUUCUCUGAAGCCUAUUAUCAUGAAACCAUGAACUUCAACCUUUGAAACUUCACAUUUGGAAUUUCUGUUACCUGAGGAGCCAGUACCCACAAAACCUAAAGACUUGCCUAAUCUACCUCUCAAAGAUGAAGAGGCCUUUCAUACUUUCGAAAAAUUUCUACAAGACGGUGAUAAUUUUCUUGCAACGAUCGACUACUUUGUUCUUUUGAUGCCAACUGGAAAAACGGAGGAGACAUUACCUGUAGGCAAAUUAUUAGCUAGAAUAUUCUCAAAUUUACU